CAGAACAGAAUGAAACUGAUGGCAGACAGUUAUGAUGAUGACCAUCAUCACUUCCACCACCACCACCAUCACCACCAUCACCGGUCUCCUGGGAGGACCCAGCACUCGAAUCACCGACCGUCUCCAGAUCAGGAUGAUGAGGAGGGUAUAUGGGCAUAGCCAUUCCUGUAAACAAAAGUUCCAGUUUUAUUCUGAAGGAUGAUCCAGUCACUGUUGGAGGCACAUAGCCAUGGCAAAUCUCACGCUGUACAUUGAUCACCUGUCCAACCUUUGCCUAGAGUGUGAUCCCCAGUCCCUUCAAGAGUUCCAUCUUUACCUGUCCAUAGAGAGGAGGAGGAGAGAGACAUCUGGGAUAACCACACUUCAAAGAUUAACACCAGAGCAGUUGUCAGAGGAGCUGGAGAAAGAGGAGGAAGAAAUGCAGCACUGCAGAAUUAAGCUGAUAAUCUAUUGCAGUGGAUCUCCAAACAUAACCAUGACAUCCUGGAGCAGAUCAUAGAAACAGAAGAUGAAUGCUGAGGUUGUUACCAGAUGAAAUGCUGCAUAAAUUGGUGUCUACUCCAUUAUUUCUUGUAGUCAUUAUGAAGUCAGAUACUCUGGAAAAUAAUGAAGGGGACUCAAUCAGAAAUUACAAGAACUUCAUUUCCGCCUUUAAUGAGUCUUAUGUUCAGAAUAUUAUUAUUUAAUGAAGUUCAGUUAAAUGAAUUCUUUUAACCAAUUUUGAUAAAUUGGUAUUGAUUUUUAAUGUAUAUUUCAGGUUCUGUUAGGUGCAGUAUCUUCAUCUGCUGAUUCUGCCUAGCGUAUUCUACAGUAACACUUCUAAAGUGGACUAGAUUGUCAAAGAGGUAUUAGCGCACUGUUAUAUAAUGGAGUCUGCAUUAAUCUUUUACCCGCAGUUAGAAGUGGGCUUUUCAGAAAAGUAAAAACUAAGCCUUUACCCUCCUCUGUUUUCUUAUAUCUACUGUUACUCAAAUAAUCACAUUUUGAUAGCGUAACGAGUAUUAAGCUCUGGGCCAGGUUGGAAACGAAAUCAAUUUUUGGUACUACUUGCUGUUGGCAAGGAUUAGCCUUAUGAAAAUAUGGUGUGUGUCUCUGACAAUGCAUGGGACAUCUAAAUUGAUCAUCAAUAAUUUACAUACCAAAUUUAUAUAUUAGUGGAUGGUAAAAGCUUGAGGUAUGUAUAUGUACAUAUGUGUAUACAUGCACACGUGUACAGGCGUGGAUCAACCUUUUAACAUCCGAAUGCAUACAGGUAUGUAUUAAUAAAAGCUGGGACUCAUAAAUAUAUCAAGAUAAGAAUGCUGUGAAUACAGUAUAUGCAUUAGGCCUCCUAUAAAUGAUGGACCAUUUGUCAUUGUUUUUCUGUAGUGAACAAACAGCCUCCAUCUUGGAUCCCAAUGAAUUUUCAAUGUUAAACAAGAAAAUAUUAAUGAAUGAGGAGAAAAUAAAAGCUGUCUGUAUCAACAACGAAUUUCAAAUAAAGAUGAAUAAUUUAAAGCACAUGCCAGGAAAAAGAAAAAAUCUGAAAUCAUUCUAAUGUAGUGAUGAGACACAAAUGAGAGUUAAAUUUCUACCACUUCCUCAAAGAGAGGAUCCUUACAACUUCAUAACCAUUUUCAGCCAGUCUGGCAAACAUGUGCAAAUGUUCAGCUGUUUUACUGAUGCAUCUCUCUUUUUGUCAGUGGAAGAAGUACUUCUAUACUGAUGUGAGUGGCAAUUGAAUAUUUGCAUUAUUAAAGGACAAACAAUAAAUUUAAGCAUGGGUGGCCUUAAUUCUUAGUGAUUUUUCUUUGCUGCUAUAAAAAAAAAUAUUCUAAAGUGGUUAUUCCGAAAGUCUUGCACUGAAUUUAGAAAAAUAUUAUUUUUUGAAAUCAUUGGUGCAGUUAUACCUAAAGUAACAUCCUAUGUGAGCCAUACCUAUAUUAACCCCUUUAAAAUGAUUGCUGUGUAGAAAACAGUAUUUUAUUGUACCAUCAUUUUUGGUGCAAAUAAAGAGCAACUAAGUCAAGCAGGAGUCCUUCUUGAUAUUUCAUCUCAGUAAAUAGAAUAAAAUGUAUAGAAUUAGUAUAGCAUAGGUGAUCCAAAUUCAUUCAUGUUUAAAAAGUUUGUCCUUUAACUAUCAAUGGAAUUUUAGAUCUUUGUUUUCAAAACAGCAAAGCUCUUGGGAGUUUAUUUAGCACAUAUGACAAAUGUUGCACUUGCAAACUCAGACAACAGAACUUGUUUCUUGUGGUGAACUUGUUGUCAUAGUAAGGGGCAACUGUCUGUGUCUCUUACAAUCAGGUCUUUACCUUAACUCUGCAACUGAAUACUUGAAGUAGGAAAUACAUUAGGUGAAAAUAGGGUCAUAAAAACAAAAAUGUAUAGUUAGAUAUUUAUAUGUAUGUGCCAAUUUUGUCACAGACAUUAUUUUAGGAGCACUUUUUGCUCCAUUCGUAUUGUAAGAGUAUUAAUCUAAACUUUUAUCAGGGGUUAUAAGUUAGCCCCUAAAGAAAAAGAAAUUGUCUAACAUUUCGUUUUUUUCAUUUCAUGUGAUAUCUAUGAUGUUUGGAGAAAAAUCUUUUCAUAUACUGAAAUAGACUCUCGGGGUUUACAAUAAACACUGUGAUGUUGGGAAAAUAUUUUAUUUCAGCAAUGUUUGGUAGUUCCUCCCCCCCUUCUAAAUGUAAGAAAUUAAACCAACUUUUGGCUAGCAUUUAAGAUAAAUAAUUAUUAUUUUAGUGUGGAAUCAGGCUUGUACUGCACAUUCUUUCUUUCAUUUAAAUGUACAGUAUGAAUUUUGUAUUUAAUGAAUUUUGUGUAUCUAGUAUGCACGUAACUGCACAUUGACUUUCAUUUGAAAGUGGGUUUAAAUUUCCUUUUUCAACAGUGUUUAUGAAAAGACCUCAGAUGUGUUGACACAAACUAUAUCUGCAAUGUGUGUGUGGGGAGGGUUGUUUUUUGUUUUUUUUGUGUAGAGUGAUGUUUGAAUGUGAUGUUCUGCAACAUGGGUCAGUAUUCUCUAUUUACCUUAAUCCCUCAUUUGAUAGUGCUUCAUGUAAUAAUUUCCUCAAGUGAGUGGCAUGUUCUGGAUUGUGAUAUUGCUAUGUGGUUAAGGACAUUGAUAUGAAACUAAGGAAUCCUUAGAAAUUACCAGUGGGCAUGUAUUAGACAGUCAUUGUAAUUUAAUGUCUAGUAAAAGUGUGAAGUAUCAAGGUAUUUAGAGAACAUAACAUUAUUAUCAUGUAUAUGGGAAGUACUUACU